CAGCAGCCACGGGAAUACGUAGGGUGCAAGCGUUAAUCGGAAUUACUGGGCGCAAAGCGUGCGCAGGCGGUUCGUUAAGACAGAUGUGAAAUCCCCGGGCUUAACCUGGGAACUGCAUUUGUGACUGGCGGGCUAGAGUAUGGCAGAGGGGGGUAGAAUUCCACGUGUAGCAGUGAAAUGCGUAGAGAUGUGGAGGAAUACCGAUGGCGAAGGCAGCCCCCUGGGCCAAUACUGACGCCCAUGCACGAAAGCGUGGGGAGCAAACAGGAUUAGAUACCCGUGUAGUCCCUGUCUCUUAUAC
rnacentral:rRNA from 1 species